rnacentral:misc_RNA from 1 species
CGGUCGUGAUGGGUGCUUUGAUUUGACAGUGUUGUUUUAUUGAUUUUUUUUAUAUAUUCGUAAGCCUAUAUUUAUUUUUGCCAAUGACUAUUUAAUUUAAGUGAUAAGUGAGCAUCAGUAUAAAUAUAACUCUAAACUAUUGGUGAAGAAGUUUCCAGUUGCAAUGAGCACUAUAGAUAAAACGGUGAACAACCUGAACGCAGUCAUGGUCAUCAACAACGUAACAACGAUUACAUCAAAGGGACUGGAGGAUAUCGUGCACAAUCUACACGAUUGUCUCUCGAAGUAUGCAAAUUUU